rnacentral:lncRNA from 1 species
CCUUUCCCACUUUCCACCAGCCUUCAUCUUCUCUGUACCUGGUGCCGAGAGCUGGGGCCAUCUUGGAACCAUGAGGGGAGCUGGGCCCACACUCCAGGCACAGAAAUGAGAAUGCUGGAAAGGUCUGGUCUCUAGCGUUGCCCUCAAGGCUCUGAGUGAAUGAUACUGGAACCUCCCUUCCUUGAGCCUUCUCCUUAGAGCAGAUGAUUAAUUCUCCCUGUUGCCUAAGCCAGCCUAUAACGUCACACUGUGCCCUUCAGACCCUUCUUGGGAAGUGACCUCCCAAGCAGGCAGGAAGGUUCUGAGAAGCCUUUGGAAAGGGAACUGGGCCUCUCCUUGGCUUGCUGGAUCUCAGACCCAUUCCCUACCCCAUCAGGCCCUGCUCUGUGUCUCAUGGCAGGCGAGGGGGAAGCAAAGCAUCGCUACAAUCAAUGCGCCAGGCAAGUGAGCGCCUGCUUCAACCCCUGGACAGAGGCCACCUCUUCUUUGCAAUGUACCGUGUGGGCACUGACCAGCCGCAGGCCCUGCUGGGCUCCCGGAGGCCCUGACCCACUUCCUGCCAGGUAGCCCUUGUCCCAGCACCUCCCAGGGAGCCGCACCAGGGUGGAGGCCGGGUGGGGCGGUGAUGCAACAACGCUUCGUAACACAAAUGUCCUGGGGUUUCCACUGGUGUCUUUGGCUUCUGACAGGUAUUUUUGGGGAUGCUCCAUUUCUCCGAUGACACCUGUGUGGUUCAGAGCAAGGAGGGCCUCCCGGGAAGCUCCCAGCUGCCCCAGGCACAUCAUUUGGAAAUUGGCAAAGACAUACACUUUCCGCCUCAGAGGGUGGAUUGGACUUUUGGAAACACCUAAAACAAUUCAAGGGCAGGGCUGGAGGGUUAGUGAGUGACUGAACUUCCGAGCUCUAUUUUUGGUCAAACGUCCAAACGUGACUAGCUGUGUGCCGUGACUGAGUCCCACUUCCCUGAGUUAGUGGCACCCUGGCAGGACAGGUCCCAACGUCCUCCUGUGGCCGGAUGUCAUAAACCUCACUCCAGAGUCAACUCUUACUACACUCCUGGGAAGAAACUUGGUGUGGAAUAUGACAACGGACAAGUGGACCGGACACAAACCCAUUUUCUGAAAAGUUCGACGUUGACUGUUCAAUAUUGAGGACACGGAUACGUAAAUUCUUGCUGACCAUCAUCUUUGAUGUUACUUCUGUUCAGGAAAGGUGACUCCAUGCAUUUGUAAUCAUCAUGUACCUUUAUUAGUCCUUUCGGGUAAAUAACUUAAGAGAAAACACCUUUUGUGCCAGACAUGUCCUCACUUUUGGUGUCAGAAAAUGUGGUCAGCAGAUUUAUACAGAGUUCUUUGUAAAAUACGUCAGAGAUUCUUAGGACAUCAGUGCUUUGAUCCAGUCCAGUCCAGCUAAAGAACAUUUUACCGAAAGGCCUUGAGAUUCAGAGAGCAGAAGUGAUAUUCAGGGUUUCAUGAUGAGCUAGGUGCUGAAGGCAGCUAAAAUCAUUGGAGUUGGUCCCAGAAUUGAGGUGGGAUGACCAAGGGCACCGAUCUUACUGGCAUGUCCCAUGUGCAUUCGGAUGUUUUUGCUUACUUCUCUAAGUUACUGCCUCUGCACCAAACACAAAAACCUUAUCUCCAUGUAAGGGUAACUUCAUAGUUUGCAAGGAUCUGCUGCUUUUCUGAAAAAAAAAAUAAAAUUGUAAGGGAGAAGAUAAAGUCUAUGGAA